AAACCAGCACCUCAAGUGGUCAGGAUGAUUAUUGGGCCUAAAGCAUCCGUAGCCGGCUCUGUAAGUUUUCGGUUAAAUCUAUAUGCUCAACAUAUAGGCUGCCGGGAAUACUGCAGGGCUAGGGAGUGGGAGAGGUAGACGGUACUCGAUAGGAAGGGGUAAAAUCCUUUGAUCUAUUGAUGACCACCUGUGGCGAAGGCGGUCUACUAGAACACGUCCGACGGUGAGGGAUGAAAGCUGGGGGAGCAAACCGGAUUAGAAACCCUUGUAGUCC
rnacentral:rRNA from 1 species